UUGUCUUUUAAAUAAAGACCAGUAUGAAUGGCAAGACGAAAGUUUAACUGUCUCCCUAAAUUAAUCAAUGAAAUUGAUCUUCCCGUGCAGAAGCGGGAAUAAAAUUAUAAGACGAGAAGACCCUAUGGAGCUUUAAAUACAUGAUCAAUUGCAUAAUAUUAACCCCGAAAGAUAUAAAAUAAAAUAAAGCAUAAUGAUCAAAAUUUUAGGUUGGGGCGACCACGGAGAAAAAUAAAACCUCCGAGAUGAAGAGAAUAUCUUAAUUUAUGAGUUACAAUUCUAAAAAAUAAAAUAUUUAACAUAAUUGAUCCAAUAUUUUUGAUCAACGAACUAAGUUACCCUAGGGAUAACAGCGCAAUCCUUUCCAAGAGUUCCUAUCGACGAAUGGGUUUACGACCUCGAUGUUGGAUCAGGACCCCCCAAUGGUGCAGCCGCUAUUAAAGGUUCGUUUGUUCAACGAUUAAAGU
rnacentral:rRNA from 1 species